rnacentral:lncRNA from 1 species
GCAGGUGCUGGUGUGGAUGUUGGUGUGGGUGUUGGUGUGCACGUAUUGGUGUGCAGGUGUUGGUGUGGAUGUUGGUGUGGACAUUGGUGUGCAGGUGUUGGUGUGGGUGUUGGUGUGGACGUUGGCGUGCAGGUGUUGGUGUGGGUGUUGGUGUGCAGGUGUUGGUGUGGACAUUGGUGUGCAGGUGCUGGUGUGGAUGUUGGUGUGCAGGUGCUGGUGUGGACGUUGGUGUGCGGGUGUUGGUGUGCGUGUUGGUGUGCAGGUGCUGCUGUGGACAUGCGUUUUUGUUUCCCUUGGGCCGACACAUGGGUGUGGAAUCGCGGGUCCAAGGGUAC